GGCGUGUGUGUGUGUGUGUGUGUGUGUGUGUGUGUAACACAUCCUGCUCUCACAAAGGCAUGCGUCCUCAC
rnacentral:miRNA from 1 species